AUUCCCCUAGUAGCGGCGAGCGAAGCGGGAAAAGCUCAAAUUUGUAAUCUGGCGUCUACGACGUCCGAGUUGUAAUCUCGAGAAGUGUUUUCCGUGAUAGACCGCAUACAAGUCUCUUGGAACAGAGCGUCAUAGUGGUGAGAACCCAGUACACGAUGCGGAUGCCUAUUACUUUGUGAUACACUUUCGAAGAGUCGAGUUGUUUGGGAAUGCAGCUCAAAUUGGGUGGUAAAUUCCAUCUAAAGCUAAAUAUUGGCGAGAGACCGAUAGCGAACAAGUACCGUGAGGGAAAGAUGAAAAGCACUUUGGAAAGAGAGUUAACAGUACGUGAAAUUGUUGGAAGGGAAACACAUGCAGCCAGACUUGCUAUUCGGGGCAACUCGAUUGGCAGGCCCGCAUCAGUUUUUCGGGGCGGAAAAGCAUAGAGAGAAGGUAGCAAUUUCGGUUGUGUUAUAGCUCUUUAUUGGAUUCGCCCUGGGGGACUGAGGAACGCAGCGUGCUUUUAGCAUAAGCUUCGGCUUAUCCACGCUUAGGAUGCGGGUGUAAUGGCUGUAUAUGACCCGUCUUGAAACACGGACCAAGGAGUCUAACAUGCUUGCGAGUAUUUGGGUGUCAAACCCGGAUGCGCAAUGAAAGUGAAUGGAGGUGGGAAGCGCAAGCUGCACCAUCGACCGAUCUGGAUCUUUUGAGAUGGAUUUGAGUAAGAGCAAGUAUGUUGGGACCCGAAAGAUGGUGAACUAUGCCUGAAUAGGGCGAAGCCAGAGGAAACUCUGGUGGAGGCUCGUAGCGGUUCUGACGUGCAAAUCGAUCGUCAAAUUUGGGUAUAGGGGCGAAAGACUAAUCGAACCAUCUAGUAGCUGGUUCCUGCCGA
rnacentral:rRNA from 1 species